AUUGAACGCUGGCGGCAGGCCUAACACAUGCAAGUCGAACGAGCGGCGGACGGGUGAGUAAUGUCUGGGAACCUGCCUGCUGGAGGGGGAUAACUACUGGAAACGGUAGCUAAUACCGCAUACCAUCAGAUGUGCCCAGGUGGGAUUAGCUGGUAGGUGGGGUAACGGCUCACCUAGGCGACGAUCCCUAGCUGGUCUGAGAGGAUGACCAGCCAAACUGGAACGGAGACACGGUCCAAACUCCUACGGGAGGCAGCAGUGGGGAAUAUUGGACAAUGGGCGAAAGCCUGAUGCAGCAAUGCCGCGUGUGUGAAGAAGGCUUUCGGGUUGUAAAGCACUUUCAGCGGGGAGGCGUUACCCGAAGAAGAAGCAACGGCUAACUACGUGCCAGCAGCCGCGGUAAUAC
rnacentral:rRNA from 1 species